rnacentral:rRNA from 1 species
ACCCUCCCCAACAGCUAGCCCAAUUCAAAAUACAACAACCCACAUCAAUAACCCCAAAUACCCCAGAACCCUGCAAAUAAACCAUUUUUCCGCCCGAGUAUGGGAGACAGAAA